UGUAUCUGAAGCCUGACGAGGAUGAGAACCUCCGGGGGCAAGAGGUUCGACCCGAGCGAAGCGAGAGAACGUUGCGUCAGCAACGGCCCGCAGGGCGAGCCACGCAGUGGCGAGUCAUCCUCUAUCACCGAACU
rnacentral:sRNA from 37 species